UCAGCCGUUAUUACAUUCAAUCCUUCCAGCCCGCUAAUCCCACUGCCAGUAUAUAUGCUAGACCUUUAGAGUUGCCUUUUCAAUCUCUCUUCUUCUUCCGAUUCAUCUUUGCUUUCUCUUCUUUUAUUCAUGGCUGCUCUCAGGGGUUAUUGGAUGAUAGAGAAAAAUACAUGUUCAUAUCACUUGAAGAGAUGAAUCUGGUUGCAGAUUACAUCAAACAUCAAGGAAGACUGAGUAUCUCGCAUCUAUCCAACAACUGCCUGUAGACCAUGACAUCAGCUUUCUAUUGCUACCAGUUGCAAAUACAGAGGACCUACAUAUCUUAUGAAUGGUUGCUGGAUCUAUUGCUAUUGUGUCUGGACUUAUAGAGGAUGAUAGCUUGGGCUCACUUACACAUUCAUAACUACGAUCCUAUUUUUUUCAUCGGGUCCGGGUAGAGACCAAAGGUCUUGAGCGACCCAUCCGGAAUUACAGAGCAAUACUGCAGCUAAGCAAUAGGCAUAUGUGUCCUGGAAGCAUUAAAAGGAGAGACAGAGCUUAAAAUCUAAUGGAACUACGGCAGACACGGAAUAGAGUUGCUCUGUAAUAACCUUCAUGGGGAUAUCUAUUAACGAGUGAUAAACGGGACAUGAGGCGCCUUUCACUGUCAGAUUCACACCUGGAUACUAAAAGCUGUCUGUGUUAUUCUUAUGUUGAAAAAAUAAUCGAAUUUUCUUACCCAUUUUCCAUAACCCUAUUGUAUGAUUCCACUUUUUUA